rnacentral:rRNA from 1 species
AUUGAACGCUGGCGGCAGGCCUAACACAUGCAAGUCGAGCGGAGAGGAGGACGGGGGAGGAAUGCCUAGGAAUCGGCCAGGGAGUGGGGGAAAACGUCCGGAAACGGGAGCUAAUACCGCAUAAUAUCACAUGAGACUAGGUCGGCUUAGCUAGUUGGUGGGGUAAAGGCAUACCAAGGCGACGAUCCGUAACUGGUCUGAGAGGAUGAUCAGUCACACUGGAACUGAGACACGGUCCAGACUCCUACGGGAGGCAGCAGUGGGGAAUAUUGGCCAAUGGGCGAAAGCCUGAUCCAGCCAUGCCGCGUGUGUGAAGAAGGUCUUCGGAUUGUAAAGCACUUUAAGUUGGGAGGCGUUACCUACAGAAUAAGCACCGGCUAACUUCGUGCCAGCAGCCGCGGUAAUUC